rnacentral:rRNA from 1 species
AAGCCUGAUGCAGCCAUGCCGCGUGUAUGAAGUAAGGCCUUCGGGUUGUAAAGUACUUUCAGUCAGUGAGGAAGUGGAUAUGUUAAUAGCAUAUUCAUUUGACGUUUAGCUGCAGAAGAAGCACCGGCUAACUCCGUGCCAGCAGCCGCGGUAAUACGGAGGGUGCGAGCGUUAAUCGGAAUUACUGGGCGUAAAGCGCAUGCAGGUGGUUGUUAAGUCAGAUGUGAAAGCCCGGGGCUCAACCUCGGAAUUGCAUUUGAAACUGGCAAACUAGAGUACUGUAGAGGGGGUAGAAUUUCAGGUGUAGCGGUGAAAUGCGUAGAGAUCUGAAGGAAUACCGGUGGCGAAGGCGGCCCCCUGGACAGAUACUGACACUCAGAUGCGAAAGCGUGGGGAGCAAACAGGAUUAGAUACCCUGGUAG